rnacentral:lncRNA from 10 species
UCUUGGAUCUCAGGCAGGAAGGAAUUCAAGAUGAGCCACAGAGCACAGUAAAAGAAGCAAGCUUAUUAGAAAUGACUACAUUACAGACUAGGGUGUCCUCACAAAACAAGCAGAGGAAUGCACUGUCUUUAAGUUAUUUUUCUUAUAUAGGGGUCUUGUCUACAUAAAGACGAAACUAAACCAUGACUACGUGAAGAUUACCAGGUUCUGAAACUCACAGGGACUUCAAAAGUCAACCUGUCUAAUCCCAACUUUGGGUAGAUCAAUUGUUUUCACCAUGUAACAGAUGGGCCACUAUGGGCCAGAGAGGUUAAACCCCCUGUUCCUGGUCACACAGCUGGAUGGGUGGCUACGUGAAGACUAGAACCCAAUCCCCUGAUACGGAGCACAGUGAAGUGCCAUUUCUCUUACACGCUGGCUUUCAAACUUGGCUGCACUUUAGAAUCACCAGAGAGCUUUAAAGAAUAUUGAUGCCUGGGUCCCACCUCCAGAGAACUUGAUUUAAUUGAUUUUGAUUUAACAUUUUAAUAAAACAUAUUUUAAAGAUAUUUGUAUUAUAAAUAUUUUAAUUUUUAUUAUAAAAUAAAACAUCACAAUAGAAUAUCACACAAAUCAAAUGCCUGGUUUAAUGAAUUAUUUUAAGGUGAAUACCACCCAGAUUUUUUAAAAAAUAGAACUUUGCCAGCCACUCUGAAAGCCCCUUCAGUGUAACCCAUCCCAACCACAAUCUCUCCUCC